GGCAUGUUCCAAGGGAGAGGAAGACAGGAAGAGAAGGAAGAGAGACAGAUCUUUGAAGGAGAGAGAGAGAGCGAGACGGUGUUGAGUCGGACGUCCAGAAAACAGGAGAAUAAAACGAGCUGAGGAUCUACCUGAACAAGGUCCUCCAUAUUGAAAAGGCACCUGUCAUCUUUGACCAUGUCUAAGGAUCAGUGUGACUCCGUAGCAGUGAGCGUCGAGUCCCUCUUAACAGACGCAGUUAAGAUGCAGUCCCAGUGUCGGGAGCGUAGUGAGCAGCUAGCUGUGGCCGCCGCCGCACUGCGGGAGGAGUCGGCGUGCUUGAGAGAACAGUGUCAAGCCACCCAGCUGGAUAUGGCCCGGAUGAGAAGGCAGCUAGAAGAACUGCUGGAUACCAAAGCUCAGAUGGAGGCCAGUGAUAGAAUGCACCGCAAACUCAGCAGGACACUCUAAAUGGAAGAGAAGAAAGAGGUAGAGAGAGAGAGGAGAAAGAGGUAGAGAGAGAGAUGAGAAAGAGGUAGAGAGAGAGAUGAGAAAGAGGUAGAGAGAGAGAGGAGAAAGAGGUAGAGAGGAAAAGGGGGAGGAACCAGGAGAGAGGGUGAGAGAAGAGUGAAGGAGAGAGAGGAGAAAGAGGUAGAGAGAGAGAAGAAGAACAGCUGGGUACCAAGGCUACGAUGGAGUCCCGGGGUGAACACACACUUGGAAAUAGGUCUGGCAGACUUUACAGUUAAAUAAAUAAUUAUUUUAACAACGUA